CCUUUGUACACACCGCCCGUCGCUACUACCGAUUGAAUGGCUCAGUGAGGCCUUCGGACUGGCUCGGGGAGGUUGGCAACGACCACCCCGAGCCGGAAAGUUGAACAAACUCGGUCAUUUAGAGG
rnacentral:rRNA from 1 species